AAGGCAAGUGAGUUAUGGUACUAUU
rnacentral:piRNA from 1 species